rnacentral:rRNA from 1 species
UACAGAGGGUGCAAGCGUUGUUCGGAAUUAUUGGGCGUAAAGCGCGUGUAGGCGGCUGACUAAGUCCGCUCUGAAAGCCCGGGGCUCAACCCCGGGAGGCGGGUGGAUACUGGUCAGCUCGAGUCCGGAAGAGGAGUGUGGAAUUCCUGGUGUAGCGGUGAAAUGCGCAGAUAUCAGGAGGAACACCAAUGGCGAAGGCAGCACUCUGGGACGGUACUGACGCUGAGACGCGAAAGCGUGGGGAGCAAACAGG